AGCAGUGUGGCUUAAUGGAAAGAGCCUGGGCUUGGGAGUCAGAGGUCAUGAGUUCAAAUCCCAGCUCUGCCA
rnacentral:tRNA from 1 species